rnacentral:sRNA from 1 species
GUCCACAUGGGUGUCUACUUUAUAUGGAAAUAAACCCGAGCUAAGGUAAGGAUCCAAAUGGAUUUACAAACAUUGGAAAUGGUGACGUGAACGAAAGAGGCUGAAAUGCAUAAUAAAAAGAGGCCUACAGGUAAGCAUGGAGAGGUGGAGUGGAAGCAAGAAGAUCUCUGCUUACACGUCAAUGCCUACCAGAGAGGAGCUCAAUAACUGACAAAAUAAGCGCCCUUGGUCAGCUGCAUUUUCUAGUUCCUGUUGUCAGUCAUAUGGGAUGUGUGCAUGGAGCAGCUGUGUCAGGAAUGGAAACUACACACAGAGCAUAUCCAGCGAUUUGGACUUCUCUAGUUCUGCCACAUCUCAGUGUCCAGCCAGCCAGUGAGGACACUAACGCAAACCCCUUCAUUGGCCCUGUCCCUGGCUGGAUGCAUGGAGUAUUCGGUGGAAAGAUGGUUCCGUUAGUUUGCUUCUGCCGUGGAAGGACAAGUGAUUCAUCCCGACUGGAGUCACAUUUUCUGGCAACAGUAUCCAGCGCAAGCCAAAACACAUGGGCAGGAUCCUGCAGUGCUCCCCACCCCAUGAGUGGGGCUGAGACCCAUGUCACCUCUGUGACCCUGCCUAUUAAAUAUUCCACAACCUCCCCAAAACUUCAUCCUGGGAUUCACCCUUCAACACAUGGGCUUUGAGGAGACAUACAAGAAAAUGGGCAAUUACUCACCCUGAGCCAUGAUGCCCCACCUCUAACCAACAAGAACCAUGUUCCUGUAUCACACAGAAACUUUCCUAUUAGGACGUUGGAAUGGCCUAAGAGAAGAGGAAGAAGAAGGAAAUGGAAGAAAAAAGAAGAGGAAGAAGAAGGAAGAAGAAUAGGGGGGCGGGGAGAAAUGUACCAGUUAUUGACCGUUGUGUAAUAAACUAAUUCGACACUUA